rnacentral:ncRNA from 2 species
UUGAGCUGCAUGCGGGGAAACUCGCACGUGCAGUUCUUAGGGGGGCGCGGCCUGGAAACGGGCCGCGCCUACCCGAC